UACAGAGGUCCCAAGCGUUGUUCGGAUUCACUGGGCGUAAAGGGUGCGUAGGCGGUUGGGUAAGUCUGUCGUGAAAUCUCCGAGCCUAACUCGGAAACUGCGUCGGAUACUAUUCAACUCGAGGAAUGGAGGGGAGACUGGAAUUCUCGGUGUAGCAGUGAAAUGCGUAGAUAUCGAGAGGAACACCUGAGGUGAAGACGGGUUGCUGGGCCAACACUGACGCUGAGGCGCGAAAGCCAGGGGAGCAAACGGG
rnacentral:rRNA from 1 species